rnacentral:rRNA from 1 species
UACGUAGGGGGCUAGCGUUGUCCGGAAUCAUUGGGCGUAAAGCGCGUGUAGGCGGCCCGGUAAGUCCGCUGUGAAAGUCGAGGGCUCAACCCUCGAAUGCCGGUGGAUACUGUCGGGCUUGAGUACGGGAGAGGCGAGUGGAAUUCCUGGUGUAGCGGUGAAAUGCGCAGAUAUCAGGAGGAACACCGAUUGCGAAGGCAGCUCGCUGGAACGUUACUGACGCUGAGACGCGAAAGCGUGGGGAGCAAACAGG